rnacentral:rRNA from 1 species
GCGUGGUAGCGAACAGGAUUAGAUACCCUGGUAGUCCACGCCGUAAACGUUGGCACUAGGUGUGGGGCCUACUUAACGGGUUCCGUGCCGUAGCUAACGCAUUAAGUGCCCCGCCUGGGGAGUACGGCCGCAAGGCUAAAACUCAAAGGAAUUGACGGGGGCCCGCACAAGCGGCGGAGCAUGUUGCUUAAUUCGAGGCAACGCGAAGAACCUUACCUGGGUUUGACAUGCACAGAAAAGCCAUAGAGAUAUGGUGUCCUUCGGGGCUGUGCGCAGGUGGUGCAUGGCUGUCGGCAGCUCGUGUCGUGAGAUGUUGGGUUAAGUCCCGCAACGAGCGCAACCCUUGUCCUAUAUUGCCAGCACGUAAAGGUGGGGACUUGUAGGAGACUGCCGGGGUCAACUCGGAGGAAGGUGGGGACGACGUCAAGUCAUCAUGCCCCUUAUGCCCAGGGCUGCAAACAUGCUACAAUGGCCGGUACAAAGGGCUGCUAUUCCGCGAGGUUGAGCGAAUCCCAUAAAGCCGGUCUCAGUUCGGAUUGGAGUCUGCAACUCGACUCCAUGAAGUCGGAGUCGCUAGUAAUCCCGGAUCAGCAAUGCCGGGGUGAAUACGUUCCCGGGCCUUGUACACACCGCCCGUCACACCACGAAAGUUGGCAACACCCGAAGUCAGUGGCCUAACCCCUCG